rnacentral:rRNA from 1 species
UACGGGGGGAGCAAGCGUUGUUCGGAUUUACUGGGCGUAAAGGGCGCGUAGGCGGUAGCACAAGUCAGUUGUGAAAUCUCCGGGCUUAACUCGGAAAGGUCAACUGAUACUGUGCGACUAGAGUGCAGAAGGGGCAACUGGAAUUCUCGGUGUAGCGGUGAAAUGCGUAGAUAUCGAGAGGAACACCUGCGGCGAAGGCGGCUCACUGGCCCGGUACUGACGCUGAGGUGCGAAAGCGUGGGGAGCAAACAGG